rnacentral:rRNA from 1 species
CCCUUAGAUGUUCUGGGCCGCACGCGUGCUACACUGAGUGGAUCAUCGGGUCAGGUUGCGCGAAAGUGUUUCCUAAUCUUUAAAUCCGCUCGUGAUGGGGAUUGACGGUUGCAAUUUUCCGUCAUGAACGAGGAAUACCUUGUAAGCGCGGGUCAUCAUCCCGCGCUGAAUACGUCCCUGCCCUUUGUACACACCGCCCGUCGCUCCUACCGAUUGAGUGGUCCGGUGAGGCUUUGGGAUCUGAGCGGAAAGAGCGUUUCGCUGUUUCUGCCCGGAAAACUCAGUCGAACCUUAUCAUUUAGAGGAAGGAGAAGUCGUAACA